GACGAACGCUGGCGGCGUGCCUAAUACAUGCAAGUAGAACGCUGAAGGAGGAGCUUGCUUCUCUGGAUGAGUUGCGAACGGGUGAGUAACGCGUAGGUAACCUGCCUGGUAGCGGGGGAUAACUAUUGGAAACGAUAGCUAAUACCGCAUAAUAGCAGUUGUUGCAUGACAACUGUUUGAAAGGUGCAAUUGCACCACUACCAGAUGGACCUGCGUUGUAUUAGCUAGUUGGUGGGGGAACGGCUCACCAAGGCGACGAUACAUAGCCGACCGGCGAGGGUGGUCGGCCACACUGGGACUGCGACACGGCCCAGACUCCUGCGGGAGGCAGCCGUAGGGAAUCUUCGGCCAUGGACGGAAGUCUGACCGAGCAACGCCGCGUGAGUGAAGAAGGUUUUCGGAUCGUAAAGCUCUGUUGUAAGGGAAGAACGAGUGUGAGAGUGGAAAGUUCACACUGUGACGGUAUCUUACCAGAAAGGGGCGGCUAACUACGUG
rnacentral:rRNA from 1 species